rnacentral:rRNA from 1 species
AGAGUUUGAUCCUGGCUCAGGACGAACGCUGGCGGCGUGCCUAACACAUGCAAGUCGAGCGAGGAAGAGGAGAUAGCUUGCUAACUCCUGUUUCUAGCGGCGGACGGGUGAGUAACGCGUGAGCAACCUGCCUUUAUCAGGGGGAUAACGCAUCGAAAGAUGUGCUAAUACCGCGUAAGACCACAGCCUCACAUGGGGCAGGGGUCAAAGGAGCAAUCCGGAUAAAGAUGGGCUCGCGUCCGAUUAGCUAGUUGGUGAGAUAACAGCCCACCAAGGCGACGAUCGGUAGCCGACCUGAGAGGGUGAUCGGCCACAUUGGAACUGAGAGACGGUCCAGACUCCUACGGGAGGCAGCAGUGGGGAAUAUUGGGCAAUGGGCGAAAGCCUGACCCAGCAACGCCGCGUGAGGGAAGAAGGGUUUCGGCUCGUAAACCUCUGUCCUAUGGGACGAAGGAAGUGACGGUACCAUAGGAGGAAGCCCCGGCUAACUACGUGCCAGCAGCCGCGGUAAUACGUAGGGGGCGAGCGUUGUCCGGAAUGAUUGGGCGUAAAGGGCGCGUAGGCGGCCUGCUAAGUCUGAAGUGAAAGUCCUGCUUUCAAGGUGGGAAGUGCUUUGGAUACUGGUGGGCUGGAGUGCAGGAGAGGAAAGCGGAAUUACCGGUGUAGCGGUGAAAUGCGUAGAGAUCGGUAGGAACACCAGUGGCGAAGGCGGCUUUCUGGACUGAAACUGACGCUGAGGCGCGAAAGCGUGGGGAGCAAACAGGAUUAGAUACCCUGGUAGUCCACGCGGUAAACGAUGAAUGCUAGGUGUAGGAGGUAUCGACCCCUUCUGUGCCGCAGUAAACACAAUAAGCAUUCCGCCUGGGGAGUACGGCCGCA